UACAGAGGUCUCAAGCGUUGUUCGGAUUCAUUGGGCGUAAAGGGUGUGUAGGUGGCGCGCUAAGUCGGGUGUGAAAUUUCGGAGCUUAACUCCGAAACUGCACUUGAUACUGCUCUGCUUGAGGACUGGAGAGGAGACUGGAAUUCACGGUGUAGCAGUGAAAUGCGUAGAUAUCGUGAGGAAGACCAGUGGCGAAGGCGGGUCUCUGGACAGUUCCUGACGCUGAGGCGCGAAGGCCAGGGGAGCAAACGGG
rnacentral:rRNA from 1 species